rnacentral:lncRNA from 10 species
UUUUGCAAAUAUGUUCACUUUUCUCAUAACUGCUACCUUCACCCUAAUCCAGACCAUAGCCAUCUCUCACCUGGACUAUUUUAGUUUGUUUUGUGUUGCCAUAACAGAAUACCUGAGACUGGCUAAUUUAUAAAGAAAAGAGGUUUAUGUAGCCCAUGGUUCUGCAGGCUGGGAAGUUCAAGGACAUGGCUCUGACUUCUGAAGAGGGCUUUCAUACUGCAUCAGAACACAGAGGAGAAGAUCAAAGAAAAAGCAGACACAUUGAAAGAGAGAGAGCUCAAGGGGCCUCCUGGCUUUAUAAAAAUGCACUGUCAUGGGAACUAAUCCAUUCCCACAAGAACCAAUCCAGCCUCACCAGAAUGAGAACUCAGUCACUACCAAAAGAAAGGAACCAAGCCAUUCAAGAUCAUUCAGGAUCUGCACCCAUAACAUAAACACCUCUCACUUGGCCCCAUCUCCCAACACCACAACAUUGGAGAUCAAAUUUUAACAUAAGUUUUGAUGGGACAAACCACAUCCAAAUGGAAUACUAUUAUUCUCCCAUAUUCACACCACAUUCCCUACCCCAUCCCUGCACUCCAGUUUUUUCUCUACACUACAGGCAGUUAUUUUUCCAAAUGAAAAUCUGGUAUUACUCUCUUCCCUUCACUGGCUUUCCAUUGACUUUUCAACUAAAAUGAAAGUCUAAUUUAACUUAGUUCACAAGUUCUGGAAGGCACUGGCCUCCACACACCUUAAUAGCCACUUUUGGCUCACUCUAUGAACACCAGCUACAGGAUCUGCCUUUCAGCUCUUUGAACUCUUUCCUAGUGUCACCCUCCACAAAGACCCCACCCAUAUCAUCUGACACUACACACAACCUCACAACCUCUCCCCUUCUACUCACGCACUUUCUUUGCCUAGUUAACCCAAGCUCAUCGUUCAGCCCUCAGGCUGUAAUCUCCCUGGAAAUGAGGACUUUUCCUGUCUUGUUUACUGCUGAUCCCUGAGGCCUAAAACAGU